UACGUAGGGGCAAGCGUUGUCCGGAUUUAUUGGGCGUAAAGAGCGUGUAGGCGGCCGUACAGGUCAGCUGUGAAAACUCGAGGCUCAACCUCGAGACGUCGGUUGAAACCGUACGGCUAGAGUCCGGAAGAGGAGAGUGGAAUUCCCGGUGUAGCGGUGAAAUGCGCAGAUAUCGGGAAAGAACACCCGUGGCGAAGGCGGCUCUCUGGGACGGUACUGACGCUGAGACGCGAAAGCGUGGGAGCGAACGAGG
rnacentral:rRNA from 1 species